GGCUGCAUGGUGGAGCGAUUAGUAACAAUGUUGCCUUGAAGAACGAAGGCCCUGGGUUUGAAUCCCAGCCAGCAGCCU